GUCUUUUUGCCAUUUCUAGGGCCACUCCUGCAGCAUAUGGAGGUUCCUAAGCUAGGGGUCUAAUCGGAGCUGUAGCUGCCAGCCUACGCCAGAGCCACAGCAAUGUGGGAUCCGAGCCACGUCUGCGACCUACACCACAGCUCACAGCAAUGCUGGAUCCUUAACCCACUGAGCAAGGCCAGGGAUCAAAAUGGACAGCUCAUGGAUACUAGUCGGAUUCAUUAACCACUGAGUCAUGAUGGGAACUCCCUGAACAAAUUCUAUAAAAUCUGUACUCUUUGUCACAUGUGGCUACUGAAGUGUCUGCUUGCUUUGCUUAGCAGUCAGCUAAUAGCUGGACAAUUUGGACAGAGAUUUCCUUGAAUAAGUCAAGGAAACAAUAAGUCUCUCAGACUUUGCUGAAGGGGCAUCAGGGCUCCCUUCAACUCUGCCUUGGCCUUCAAUUCUUCCUUGUACAGAGUUCAAGGUCAGCCCGAGGUUAGGGGUUAGGGCCUUCUCAGACUUUUCCUGGGUGUGUGCCCACCCUUGUGCAUACACGUGGCUUUCUAGAUUCCCAGCAGUGAGCUGACACUUCCUGCUCUGGUGCCUGUCAAGUUGCUGUUUUUCAUGGCUAUUGCGACCAGCAUGCACUGAUUUUCAGGCCACUACGCUGUUGGGAGGAGGGAUGGAGUAGGCAAGUUAAGAUACUGUAAAGCUCCCGGUUCCAAGGACUCAGCCAUUUGAUUGAACUAACUAUUUUCAAAUUGUUGGAGGCCUUAGAUGAAUUUCCAGAGUUCUAAAAAAAAGGUGGGUUUUGACACGUUCUGCAAGCAUUCUUGCUUUUGUGGAGCAGCAGGGUUUGGGAGGUCCUAACUCCACCAUCCCGGGAAAUGCUUUUCUUCAGUCUUUAAAAAUUUCUCUCUCAGUUGAAGUAAAACCUGACAACCUUCCUUGCAAUAUCUGUGAGCUGCCGGGUGGGUUUUGUUCGCAUCUGUUCCCUUCAGUGAGGGUGUGUGGGGACCACGGCUUUAUGCAGAAGUGUCGGUCCAAACACGUGCCCCUUAGGUGCCUACAGGCUUCCCCCCUCCUGGGAGCCCAUUUCGAGGCCUUUUACACCAAGACCAGCAUCUGGGAGCCAGCCCUGGGGCCGCCCCAGCGUUAGCUCACUUUGGUGACCAUCUGGGGUUGUGUUGCUCAUCUGGGGCCCCUGAAAAUUUCCACUACUCCUCUGCAAGCUCAGCUCUCCAUCUAAAAGGUGUGCAUCUUACGUGCCUGGCAUUUCUAAGCUGUAUUUUUUUUUUUUAAGCAGGAGUGUUCUCAGGUUAUCAUGACCGGACUCUUCCCGGGAAAAAGGGACACCCUCUAGGUAAACACUCACAUAAACACACACGUCUAGCUAACGGAACGCAACAGGGAGAAGCAAGGACCGCCCAGAAGCUGUGGUGAAGACGGACAGCAUGAGGGUCUUGCAAGCAGAGGAGCGAGUCUGACCUGGGCCCACGGGUCUCCAGGACCGCUUCGUCCACCUCUGGCCCCCACUGGAGGCUUAAUGUGGGGGAGGGAGUGUUGAGGGUGCAGCUACAGCCAGGACUAAGGGACCCUCUGUAGGCCCAGACUCUCUGUCCACCCACGCAGGGACCUAGUCUUCCUGCAGCAGCAGCCAGGAGCCUCCGGGACAUCCUAAGGCCCCAGGAACCUCCUCCUGGCAGCACUCAGAACUAGUGGCAGGUGCAUAGACCAAAGUUCUGUGGGAAGAAUGUCUGCUCACUACAGCAGGUGCCAGGAGAUGUUCAAGGAAGAGUUAGAGACUGAAUGUUUGUCCCCCGGCCCCAAAACAAAGCAGCAUAUGGUGGGAUCCGAAACCCCCGGGGAUGGCAUCGGAAUGCGAGGUCUCUGGGAGGUCAUGAGGUCAUGAGGGUUGAAGGUGCAGCUCGGAUCCAGUGUUGCCGUGGCUGUGGUGUAGGACUGCAGCGGUAGCUCCGAUUCAACCCCUAGCCCGGGAACUUCCUAUGCCACGGGCGCAGCCAUAAACAUUUUUAAAAAGGGGACUCCAGAGAGCUCUCCCACCUCCUCCUCCACGUGAGGGCGCAGGGAGAAGGCGGUCUGUGACCCAGGCGGUGUGUCCUCACCCGACACCGAAUCUGCGGACACCUUGACCUCGGCCUCAGACUGUGCAGAUUGCUGGCCGGGAGGCUCCCUGGACGGUACAUGAAGUCAAGGGCAACUGGAAGCAAUUCUCUGGAGAAGGAGGCUGCCCGGAUCUGGAUGGUGUGGCACGUGGGAGGACCGGAGGAUCCAUGGUCAGAGGCGACGUGGUCCACGACUCCUUAGUGGGAUUUGAUCGCAAGGAGCAGGUGCAAAGACGUGUGUACUGGGAUGCCCACCGCAGCGCUGGCCGUCACUGCAGGAAGUUACCCACUCUCUGGAGGCCAAGUGGAUCACUUCAGGUAAGCCCACACUCAGAAAACCCCGCAUUUGCCCGUCAUUCUGCGGAGAUGUUCGUGGGCUCCUGCGAGGUGACAGUGAAUCGGGAGGGUGUUCACGUGGGGUCCUGCCGCCUGGCUCCCUUCCAGCUCAGCCACAGGUCAGGGGGCCCGAUCCAGGGCAUUAGAGCCACCUGACAAAGCUGCAGACCUUGGGCUGUUUCAGAGGGGCCCCUGGGCUUUCUGGGGACAUCAAGCUUUCCCUGUGCCCCGUCUCCAGCAGCCACUCUGCUGCAAUCUUGGGGGAGGACCCUGGCUGUGGCUGCAUGCACAGGGCGGGGGCUGAAGGCGAGGGGACCUGAGCCCUGGAGUUCGGCCCACAGCUCAGUCUCCUGGCUGCCCCCACCCAGUGACCCCAAGCCCGCCACCUGCAACCGCAUCCCCUGGCGGUGGGUGUGCUGCUCCCCACCCCAUCCCCAACACAGACCUCUGUAAUCGACCAGGUCGAGGCUGAGGGGGAAAUGCCGCAAGUCAGAGAGCCAGUGUGUGGGGUGAGCAGACAACUGGGGGGUGACAUGGCUCCUGUCCCAGGGCCCCCGCUCCAUGCUGCUCCUUCCCCCCGCCAUGCUGGAAACUGCUGCCUUGUCCCUGGGGUCUCAGCUCACUGGUGACACCCUGACCACGGGAUUUAACCCGUCCUUCAGCCCAGUCUGUCCAUUUCUUCACAGCACACUCCUGCUCUGACACCCUCUGGACGGGUAGUUGUCAUCCCCCUCCCCCGCCCAGUGUCCCCAGCUCACUCAGCCCCACUGGAGACCAGGCCCUCGGGAGAGUUGGGGGAUGGUGGAGGGUGUGGGGGACCCCGGCCUCGCCCCCACUGUCUUUUCAACAACAUCCCUGAGGCCUCGGCCACCGGAGGACGCAGGCAGGGAAGGAGGUUGGUCCUGCGCUGUGGGCCAGAUGGGGAGCAGUGCUGUCCCCGCGUGCAGACCCGGUCCUGGGCACCCGGCCUCCGCCUCGCUCCCGGGCCUCUCGGUCGGCGUGGCCAGCUAACCGAGCUUGCUGAUAGCUUGGGAACGUGGUGAUAAGGGCUGAGCAUGGGGAAUGGUUACCUCCUGGCUCUUGUGAGAAUCACCAGGGUGGCUGUUUCAAGUGUCUGCCCCCAAUUUUCCAGCGGUCCCUCCCUUGGGAGUCUGGGCAGACAGGCAGGGGCGCGGCGGCGAAGGGGGCCGCUUUCCAUUUUUAGGUUGAAUUCCUUUCUGGAAAGCUGCAGGCAUGUCUCUGGCAUGAGUGCCCCGGGGCUGGGGGUGUGCAGCACUCUCCCUGGCCGGGCCCCCCGUGGCUCACGUUCCUCCUUGUCUGCCUCCUUCAGCCGGGAACGGGUGAGUGCCUGGACCCCAGGGUGCCCUGCGUUUGAGGCUCCCAUGAGGGAAACACCAGCCACGAACAUCCCACACCACGGAGCUCAGGACCGCCAGCAAGUGCCUGAGGUGGGCACAUGCAGGUGGGAUGGCUGGGUUCGCAAACGCAAAAUCAGGAUGCCCAGUGAGAUCUGAAUUUCAGAGAAACGGGGAGUGCUUCGUGCCAGCGAGCCCCCCGGCGUGCGCAGUCCCGCCUCGCCAGCGGAGGCUGAUGUCAGAGAAGCUGCCCCUGGGCACGCUGGGUAAGUGGCCACACGGGUGAACGCUGGGGGGCAAGCUCAGGGGAUGCCCCCAAAGGCGUGGCUCUAGAUGCACUGUCCAGAGACUGCCACGGGCGCCAGCCUGAACCCGCAAGUCCAGCCACGCAGCCACCAGCCGCAUGUGGCUACUGCCCACUGGCCUGGGGCACUGAGCCUUUCAUUCUACUGUGUGUCAGGGAACAUGGUCACAGGAGGCUGUGGCCAAGUCACUGGGCAGCACAGGUGUAGGGGUGGUCCCGGAGGCCCCUCUGAGCUUUUGUGCAGACAUCUGGAAAUCUGGAGGAAAUUAUCUCCCAACUGGGGAGAUGAAGCCCCCCCCAACCCUGAGGAACUGGGGGAAGGCCAGUGAGGGGACCAGGGGGCAGGGGAGGGAGACAGGAGGGGACAGCAGGCAGGUCCAGCCCCCCUCAGGCCACUGGACACAGUCUGGACGUGCAUUCUAUUCCUAGUAAUGGGUCAAGCGGUAACUCCACAAGCUGUUCUGGGCAUUUUCACCGUCCUUCCGGCUGUGGCUUCGCCCUGCCUGUCUGGUGCAGCGGGUUUGAUUGAUUGCUUGCUGUGCCCACCGACCCAGCUGCCGUGUCCUGAUCCCCGAGAUGGUCGUCAGCCUGAAAGUCCCAGAGAAGGGGACUUGGGGAGGAGGUUUCUUGGCACCAGGCCAGGAAACCCCAGGGGUGGGAGGCGCCAGGCUCUCUGCUCAGACCCCCCACCCACCCCCCGCCCCCCGCCAGACUGCAGACCCUCCAUUCUGCUCUGCGCUGGGCAGCUCCUCCCAGGUACCCUGGAAGGUCUCCCUCUUGACAGGGUGACAGCGGUUAAAUCUCGUCCCCAGCCUGACACCCUGUAUCUGUUGCCAGUUACAGGAUCUGACACUGCUGGGGGACAGUGAGUCGAUGCAAUGAGUCUGAGAGACAGCCUCCCUCCUAGCCCAGGAUGCUGCAAGGCCUCUGCCACCCGAGCCGGGGGUGGACUCUGAAACGAGACGUGGCCUCUUUGAAAAGGAAGUUCUUUAAAUUCUCU
rnacentral:lncRNA from 9 species